UGACUACCGGUGAUAAUAGAUCAUUGUUC
rnacentral:sRNA from 1 species